UGUGACUAGCAAUCAAAGAUGAGCUUUCCUUGUUUACUGCACACAGUUCAUGAUCUCUGCAAAGCAAAGCAGAUGCAUUGAGGUUGGAAAGUCUCAAGCUCGUGCAACCCAGCUCCCUUGCAAGCCAACACAGGCCUGGAUGGAAGAUGCGCAAAAUCCAAGCUGUCCAUCAGGUGGGUCCCCACUUCUUGAUGCCAUAGCCCAAAAAUCAGGCGAGUCCACUCCAUGGAAGGAUCACCAAAAGGGCCCCACACCCUAGGAAUUCUGUGCAGCAAGACCCAUUUUUGAGUCCUGUUCUAAGCACAUUAUAUAUAUGGCUUCACAAACUGUUGUAUCUCAGACUAAAGCAUCUGAUGCCUUGAAGUGGACAGCAAGGACAUGGAUCCUACAUAGUGGGCCAAGAUUAUCAUCUAAAUAGCAGCGUUUAUGUUGCCCGUGUCUUCUGCAUUAUAAGUUUUGAUUAUAUGUUUGUUUUUCAGUGACAAAGGUAAAUGAGAAGACUUGAUUUGUUCAUGUUUUGAUUUCAAAACAUUGUUACUUUGUGAUUGUGGACAGGGAAUUAAUAACUGUAUUCAAGGAGAAAUCCAGUGGAAGUUUGUUCUGUUUUAUGGUUCUUAUUCUGGCUUCCUCAUUUAUGAAUAGCGUGAGAUAUUUGGAUGAUGUUUUCAAACUGUAGAAUGAGAAUGUUUAGAUUUUUUUUGGUUACCAAUCUUCAGUGCUUCAAUAUAACAAAAGAGUUCCCAUAAUGUUUGACUUGAGCAACUAUUUAGAGUGUAGGCUCGGGUGUCCGCAAUGCUCACAUGGAUGCAUGAACAAAGCUGCUCAUCAAAGUGCAACCACAAUAUGGCUUUCCUUGUGUGGAAUUCAGGGAACUCAUCAAGGAGGAAGUAUGUUUGGAUUUGCUCGCAGUCAAUCCAUUCUUUGAAACCCAUGUCAGACGAGAAUAGACAUUGACCGGCAGAUUAGAAGCUUGUUUCUGUAGGGUUUUUGGCGCAUCUUCCAUCUAUGGCAGAGCUUAUCAAAUUGAAGUUUGUAUCUCACAAUUGCUGGCCCUACUUGUAAGUUGUAACGUGCAUCACGACACUUCAACCCAAUGCACUAGGAACUUAUGUUUUCUACAUGAUUAGUUUUAGGGGUCAUUUGGAUGCCUGUAACUGUAAGUUUUAUCAGCUGUAAAGGGUCUACAGGUGUUUGGAUAAGAAAUUUCACUGUCAGUUACAAUAUAUAGCAUGAGCUCACUUUUCAGGUGGAACUUGUUUGCAACUUCGAAAGUUAUAGGCAUCCAAACGGCCACUUGAAAUAACUAUAUGCUUCGACUACUAUAUAUAGAUUCAAGCAAACAAAUUAUAGCAUUUGACUUUCAGGUUUUA